UACGGGGGGGGCAAGCGUUGUUCGGAAUUACUGGGCGUAAAGGGCUCGUAGGUGGCCAACUAAGUCAGACGUGAAAUCCCUCGGCUUAACCGGGGAACUGCGUCUGAUACUGGAUGGCUUGAGUUUGGGAGAGGGACGCGGAAUUCCAGGUGUAGCGGUGAAAUGCGUAGAUAUCUGGAGGAACACCGGUGGCGAAAGCGGCUCUCUGGACCACAACUGACGCUGAGGCGCGAAAGCUAGGGGAGCAAACAGG
rnacentral:rRNA from 1 species